rnacentral:ncRNA from 1 species
CAUUCGCUGGAGAUAAGAACGGCAAUAAAAAAGCGGAUUUUUUCCAUAUUUUUAUGGGCUUUUUUGUCGUGCUUAUUUUAAUGAAUGGGAUCGGACAUGGAUAAGUUAAAUGGAUGGUGUACGUUUAAUUAGGCUAUCCCUUUCUUCUUCUGUGCCUUUUCAUUGGUAUGCAGACCUAAAGCCCGUCAUGUGGACUUAAGGCCUGCAUUUUUUAU